UUUCCGUAGGUGAACCUGCGGAAGGAUCAUUAAUGAGUGGUCAUGGGGUUCGAUGCUGGCAGCCAAUUUUUGGAUGCAUGUGCUUGCCCUAACAAUCAUCUUCCAAACACCUGUGCACAUUUUUGAGGGAGUCUUGAGUUGGUUGCCGCGCUUGGGUGAUUUUCUCACAUUCCCUUAAAUCAUUAUACGCUAUUAACAAUGUUGAACGUGCUCUGUGCCGCAAGGCUAUUAAUAUAAUACAACUUUUAACAACGGAUCUCUUGGCUCUC
rnacentral:misc_RNA from 1 species